UACGAAGGGUGCAAACGUUGCUCGGAAUCAUUGGGCGUAAAGCGCACGUAGGCGGCCCCAAAAGUUGGAUGUGAAAUCCCUCGGCUCAACCGAGGACGUGCAUCCAAAACUGUGGGGCUUGAGUACUGAAGAGGAUCGCGGAAUUCCCGGUGUAGAGGUGAAAUUCGUAGAUAUCGGGAGGAACACCAGUGGCGAAGGCGGCGAUCUGGGCAGAUACUGACGCUGAGGUGCGAAAGCGUGGGAGCAAACAGG
rnacentral:rRNA from 1 species